ACGGAAGGCAGCAGUGAGGAAUAUUGGUCAAUGGGCGGAAGCCUGAACCAGCCAAGUCGCGUGAAGGAUGAAGGUAUUAUGUAUUGUAAACUUCUUUAGACGCAGAGAAAUAAGGGGCUCGUGAGUCCUGAUGCUAGUAUGCGUAGAAUAAGGAUCGGCUAACUCCGUGCCAGCAGCCGCGGUAAUACGGAGGAUCCGAGCGUUAUCCGGAUUUAUUGGGUUUAAAGGGUGCGUAGGCGGGUUGUCAAGUCAGCCGUCAAAUCGUGGAGCUCAACUCCAUCCAGCGGUUGAAACUGGCGACCUUGAGUGCGGCAGAGGGAAGUGGAAUUCGUGGUGUAGCGGUGAAAUGCAUAGAUAUCACGAAGAACUCCGAUUGCGAAGGCAGCUUCCUGGACCGUAACUGACGCUGAUGCACGAAGGUGUGGGAAUCAAACAGGAUUAGAUACCCUGGUA
rnacentral:rRNA from 1 species